rfam:Myotis lucifugus cont2.54442, whole genome shotgun sequence.
GGAAGUUCUCAGGUGACGAAUACCAGAAUUGGGCUCCCUCCUCGCUGGUUCCGGGUGCGUCACCUGAGAACCACU